rnacentral:rRNA from 1 species
AACGUAGGGGACAAGCGUUAUCCGGAUUUACUGGGCGUAAAGCGCCCGUAGGCGGCCUGACAAGUUGGACGUGAAAGCUCCUGGCUUAACUGGGAGAGGCCGUUCAAAAACUGUCAAGCUAGAGUCUGGAAGAGGAGAGCGGAAUUCCCGGUGUAGUGGUGGAAUGCGUAGAGAUCGGGAGGAACACCAGUGGCGAAAGCGGCUCUCUGGUCCAAAACUGACGCUGAGGGGCGAAAGCGUGGGGAGCGAAACGGGG